rnacentral:rRNA from 1 species
AUUGAACGCUGGCGGCCAUGCCUUACACAUGCAAGUCGAGCGCGAAAGGGGGCAACCCCGAGUAGAGCGGCGGACGGGUGAGUAACACAUCGGAACGUGCCCAGUAGUGGGGGACAACCUCGAGAAAUCGAGGCUAAUACCGCAUACGACCCACGGGUGAAAGCGGGGGACCGCAAGGCCUCGCGCUAUUGGAGCGGCCGAUGUCCGAUUAGCUAGUUGGCGGGGUAAGAGCCCACCAAGGCGACGAUCGGUAGCUGGUCUGAGAGGACGACCAGCCACACUGGGACUGAGACACGGCCCAGACUCCUACGGGAGGCAGCAGUGGGGAAUUUUGGACAAUGGGGGCAACCCUGAUCCAGCCAUG